UUUUUUUUCUCUCCUCU
rnacentral:sRNA from 1 species